CUGGGUAGCCCGGGCGGCCCCGAGGCGCGCUGAGGCUUGGGGCUGCGCGACAGGUCGGUCGUCGGCGCCUGGGACCACUGACCCGCCCCACCCAUCCAGACGGCUGGUCUGCCAGACACGCUCCUUGCUGUUUGGGGUUUUAGACGUCACAGUCUGUACUGGAGUCUUCCGCCUGACAACCGGCUCAAGCCAUUUACAGCCAGAAGAGAUUCUGAAUGAAGCAUUUUCUCUAACUUCAUGGUACAGAGGAGGAACGGAAGAUGCAGGGGCGCAGGGACUUGGGAAGACUAGAAUGUCUUUGGAGGGCUCAGCCAUGAGGGGACCCUUGAAACUCCCAGGAGGCUGAGAGGUUUGUUUCUACACGUUCGGUAGGUGCAUAGUUUUGAGAGCUGUGCCAACUGCAGUGCCCGCCACACCGAGGGAUGUUGGAUUACCUGCUCAGCAGUCAGGUCCAGGAAACAUAUGCUUUGUAACCCCCGCUACACAGACCAGUCUGGAUCUGCUUAGAUCUCAGAAUGGAAGGCUUUCUAAAGGAAAACUCCAGAAAUACCUGAAUUCAGAUGUAAAAAACUGUGCGAGAAUCAAGAACAAAGCCAGGGAAAGCAGAGGGAAGCAUCAUGAGUAUAACCCAAGACUCCGGGAAACAUCGGAUUCAUUUGACCAGCCAUCUUUGAUCUCAAAGCUGGCGAGGCAUGGAAGGACUGUUUGGAACACCUAGGCCAUGAAAACAUGCCUUUCUUUGUCUUCCACCCAAGGAGGAGGCAGCAUGGUGUGGCAAGGCAUUGCCAAGGUCUGCGGUUGGACUACCUAGUUCAAAUCCCAGCUCCACCACCUGCUUGCCAGGCUGACUUUGAGCAAGUUCCAGUGCCUCAAUUUCUGCACUUGCCAAACACAAAAGAUUAUUACACUGAAGUAUGUGAAGUUGCCGGCAUUUGACUGUUUUUGAAUACAAUGAGAUUAGACCCAAUCAUCUAAAGCUGCUGAUAUGUGACUGUUUUUGACAUAUAAAAAUGGCAAUUUCACGCGGCUGAUCCAAAAACCUGCUUCAACAGGUGACUUUGUAGUGAAAGCAAGAAACUGUAUUAAGUGUUGUACCAAAGAGCUGGUGUGUGGUAUGCCCUCAAUAUAGGUCAGUUGUUGCGGUCUCUGUAAAGAGGCUCAUAUCAACCACUGGCUCUAUGCAGAUCACUAUCCCAGGUGCCCAAAGUAUGGGGCUCCUAGGUAGCUCAGCCAGUCAAGCCUCCAACUCCUGAUCUCAGGGUUAUGAGUUCAAGCCCCAGGCAGCACCAUGGUGGGACAAUUUGAACAGAGAUAGGAGGAGUUCCUAGUCCUAAGGCAGGGGCUCUCUGUGGAAACCCCUCUGGCCCUGUAGAGGAUCCAGUCAAAGCAGAUGCGGUUUCUAAGAGCCACUAGAAACCAUGAAGAAGAAGGAAACCAACAGCGAUCCAUUAACAAAACACACCAUUCCGCGCACUGCAGCUUUCUGCCAGAUGAAAAGGCGAGUCUACACCUGGAAUCCUGGGAAGUGGCAAGUCUCAAGUGGCCCCUGGGGGAACACCAGUGGUAAUUUUCCCUUCCCCUUUCGCUGACCUUCCUGUUUCUCUGGGCAGCAUGGUGGGAAGACUGGGUCAUUAAAAGCAAGAGCACACGAACAACUUGAUGGGCUUUCUCCAUGAGGUGGCACAGCUGGGGAAUGCAGGCCCAGAAGACCUGGAGGAAGCCCUCUCAGGCUCCCUGGUGCUUUGGCCACUCAGCUUGAUAAGAGGACUGGAGUGGGUGGGGGAAAUGGGGUGACAAGGCAAGAAGAGGUGGGAGAAGGAUGCAGGUCUCAAAAGGGCCGAGAACAUAGACUUUUGAGCCAUUUCCACAUCACCAUGCUGUGCCUUCUUUUAAUGAUGACCAUAAAGAAAACCCCCAACUUUGUAAAAUUUCAUUGAUUCAGUACCUUCCUUUCUUUAAUAAAAACAUAAAAAGCAUAAAAAACAUAAUGCAUUACCUCUACUAACAACUAGAUGUGUGACUUUGGAAAAGCUACUUAAUAUCAUGGACCUCUGUGGUCAAAGAAGUGGGUUGGUUAAAGAAGCUCCAGAAUUCCGACUAUAUUAUUCUGGGUAAAAGCAAAUUCUGUCGCACACAGGCCAAAGCUCAAUUUGGGCCCAGCCUUGACCAAAAGAUGAAAAACAGAAUGGAGAACUUUAAGAUAGACACGUUUGAACCAUAUGAACAAUGUAAAAUAUAAGGGCUUUUUUUUUUUUUAAAGUCAACUAUACCAGAGCAAAUGAUUGCCAGAACAAAGAUGAAAUAAAAGGGAUUGUAAAGUA